GUGCGCUCGAGGACAGGUCAUUUAUACCACUGUUUUGCGACACCGUCUUUUAUACUAUGCCAUUCAAUUCCGACUGCAAGCUCGCAAAUCGGUAUUUCGUUCAAGCACCGAAACAAACUGUAGAGUAAGAAGAACGCGCAUGCGCAAGAACACGACGCUCAGAAGGGAAGACAAUUCUCCAGCGGUAUCUAGAAAGUGUUUCUCCCUUGAUUGCCAAGGUAUUUUUCCUUUCCAAAGCCAUCAAGUCAUAAGUGUCAGAGCCCAAUGGUUCAACACAUUUCUUUCGGAUAUGCCCCUAUUUGUGAGCUGGAGGACUCACCAACUGGAGGCCCAAUGCAGCCAUGGAAACACUCCUCAAAACACCUGUCAGACCUGCCCCUGUUCAAACACCUGCUGCAGGAAUCAGAGUCUACCAUCAGGGCUUUGCCUGAGAUGUUUAGGUUCUGCUCACCAUCGCCACGAGAGAGCAACAAGGUUUUGGGGCUGUUAUGGGAACCGGAUUUGGACAGUGAUCCAGUUUUUUUGCGUGGAAAAACAUAGCCGGGUUUCAGAUUGGGCAUUGGCUCCAGCCCCAGUACAAAAGGAAAAUGUUUCAAGAUAUUUUUACUGCUAAUAGGCAUUUCUAGGCAAUAUUGAAGAGGGCUUUAACCGUCAUCUUUCAUCUCAGCUCCCCUAAAAGUCUAUUUACUCUGCUGUCAGCACUUUUAUAAAUCAGUGAUUGUGAUUUUCUUCAUGUUUACUGAGAACAGCAGCUGCAGUAAGCUAUGUGAGGUUAUUUCAAUCAUAUUUCAUCCUUAUCAGAUUUUAAAAACAUCCCCCUAGUUAUUGGCGGACACGGUCAAAGAUGAUGUACGGUGACAAUGCAUAUAUCUGUCACAGAUGUCUCUCGUUCGAGCGCUUGUUGCACUGAAAUCCCAAAAUAAACGCAAUCAAAUCUGCUGUUACUGAAAUACA
ensembl:lncRNA